rnacentral:rRNA from 1 species
AUGUGUUGCCAUGGCAAGUUUACAUGUUUUUCCCAUCCAUCAUUUAAAACGAUGAUUUUCGACCAUGGAAAAUUAGCAAUGUUCCCUAUUUUCUUACAACUUAAGUUGUUUUUCCAUGGCAAUUCUUUUCUGUUUGGAGUAUUUUUCACAAGCCAACUAAGAAAUCAUCUAAAGUUGCCAUGGCAACUUUGGAUUAUUUUAAUUCACACGCCAACUAACAAAUCAUCUAAAGUUUGCCAUGGAACCUUUUACUACGACAACUUCAAAUGUGUGCCAUGCCAACUUAAGAUAUGUUGCCAUGACAAGUUUAGAUGA